UUGUUUUUUGUCCGCCCGGCCCACUCCUCUGGCUUCUCUUUCUCCGGUCUGCUCAGCCUCGGGCUAAAACUGGCCACCGCGUAGCCUAAGCUCAUCCUCUGUUUCGGCCCCAUCCAACCGCCAAUCCGCCAUGACCCAGCUGAAGCGGCGCCCGUGCAAAUCCCCCCACCGGCUUUAGAAACUCCGGCUGCAGGAACCUCCUCUUUUCAGGAAGCAUCACGGAAGAAUCUCCGGGGCCGGCUGCUGCCUCCUUUGCAGCACCACGGAAGACCACCACCAACUCCAACUGCAAAGCGCGCGCGCCGGAUCAGUCAAUUCACCUGCAUGAUUCUCUCUCUUUCUUUCUCUCCUUUAAGCCAUUCCACCUGAAAAAGAAAAAAAAAAAAA